rnacentral:rRNA from 1 species
GAUGAACGCUAGCUACAGGCUUAACACAUGCAAGUCGAGGGGAAACGGCAUUAAGUGCUUGCACUUUUUGGACGUCGACCGGCGCACGGGUGAGUAACGCGUAUCCAACCUUCCCAUGACUAAGGGAUAACCUGCCGAAAGGCAGACUAAUACCUUAUGGUCUUCACUGACGGCAUCAGAUGUGAAGUAAAGAUUUAUCGGUUAUAGAUGGGGAUGCGUCUGAUUAGCUUGUUGGCGGGGUAACGGCCCACCAAGGCAACGAUCAGUAGGGGUUCUGAGAGGAAGGUCCCCCACAUUGGAACUGAGACACGGUCCAAACUCCUACGGGAGGCAGCAGUGAGGAAUAUUGGUCAAUGGGCGAGAGCCUGAACCAGCCAAGUAGCGUGCAGGAUGACGGCCCUAUGGGUUGUAAACUGCUUUUGUAUGGGGAUAAAGUCAAUCACGUGUGAUUGUUUGCAGGUACCAUACGAAUAAGGACCGGCUAAUUCCGUG